rnacentral:rRNA from 1 species
GACGAACGCUGGCGGCGUGCCUAACACAUGCAAGUCGAGCGGGGUUGAGGCGAGAGGUAACUCGAGCUUCUACCUAGCGGCGGACGGGUGAGUAACGCGUGGGCAACCUGCCUCAAGGUUUGGGAUAACAGCCCGAAAGGGCUGCUAAUACCGGAUAUGCCUAUGGCCUCGCAUGGGGCUAUGAGCAAAGGGGAAACCCGCCUUGAGAUGGGCCCGCGUCCCAUCAGCUAGUUGGUGAGGUAACAGCUCACCAAGGCGACGACGGGUAGCCGGCCUGAGAGGGUGACCGGCCACACUGGGACUGAGACACGGCCCAGACUCCUACGGGGGGCAGCAGUGGGGGAUCUUGCACAAUGGGCGAAAGCCUGACCCAGCGACGCCGCGUGGAGGAAGAAGUCCUUCGGGCGGUAACUACCUGGACUGGGGGACGGAGGAAGGACGGUACCCCGACGUAGAAAGGGACGGCGUAACUACCGUGCCAGCAGCCGCGGUAACAUAACUCGUA